rnacentral:tRNA from 1 species
GGCACGCUGGCCGGCGCGGGCGCGGGGGUCGGUGUCACUGCCCAGCGCUGGAUUCCGUGCUUCGACGGCACGGCGUUCCGC